rnacentral:rRNA from 1 species
AGAGUUUGAUCCUGGCUCAGAUUGAACGCUGGCGGCAGGCCUAACACAUGCAAGUCGAACGGUAACAGGGAGCAGCUUGCUGCUUUGCUGACGAGUGGCGGACGGGUGAGUAAUGUCUGGGAAACUGCCCGAUGGAGGGGGAUAACUACUGGAAACGGUAGCUAAUACCGCAUAACGUCGCAAGACCAAAGAGGGGGACCUUCGGGCCUCUUGCCAUCGGAUGUGCCCAGAUGGGAUUAGCUAGUUGGUGAGGUAACGGCUCACCAAGGCGACGAUCCCUAGCUGGUCUGAGAGGAUGACCAGCCACACUGGAACUGAGACACGGUCCAGACUCCUACGGGAGGCAGCAGUGGGGAAUAUUGCACAAUGGGCGCAAGCCUGAUGCAGCCAUGCCGCGUGUGUGAAGAAGGUCUUCGGAUUGUAAAGCACUUUAAGUUGGGAGGAAGGGCAGUAAGUUAAUACCUUGCUGUUUUGACGUUACCGACAGAAUAAGCACCGGCUAACUUCGUGCCAGCAGCCGCGGUAAUA